CAUGCUUUAUCUUACCUGAUUUUCACCUUAAUUCCUUCUAUUUUAAAGGCGAAGUCUCAUGCUUAGGCCAGACUGGCCUAGAACUGGCAGCGGACAUCUUGCCUGUGUCCUCCUGAGUGCUGGGAGGUGUGAGCCACCAGCUAAUCUUCAUGAUUAAAAAAAUUCAUCUGUGUGGAACCCACAUGAAGGGCUCAGGACGAUUUUGUGGAAUUGGUUCUUUCCUUCCGCCUGCGUGUGGGUUUGGGGAUCGAACUUGGGUUGGGCUUGUGCAGCCACCCUGAGUCAUCUUGCCACCCUAAUCGUCACUAUUUUUAUCCCCGUUUCAUAGACACGCGGAUUCAGACUGUGUGUACACAAGGGUGGAAUUGGAAUCCAAAUCCAGGCGGUGGCUGCAGAGCUCACCCAGUUAACAACGCUCCAGCACCUUGGUCUCACCGGCUGCUAUGGGAGGGCUCAGGCACUGGCCUCCCCGACCCCGACCCUAACAAACUGCAGCAAUAACCGGGUCCAGGUGAGCUGGAUCAAGGAGACAAUCCUGGUGAACUGGAAUCUUUCUGACCACCAUGUGUCUCCACAACAUUUUCUCACAAGAACUGUGCGGGUAUGUGGCUGUGGAUUCAGAGGCCUGGGAAACGGUGCUUGAGCCAGAUCCUGAGCGCCAUCACCACAGAACAGCAGAAUGGAGCCAGAUGGAAGGACUUGGGGUCCAUCUUUGCCUCACUCAGAGAGCUAUGAAGGAUCACUCUAAAUGACACUUACCCUUGGCCAGGACGCUCUGCCAAGAGAUGCUCGGAAGGCCAUGGAUCGUUUGGGGCAUGACCACACCACCCCUUCCCAUCCCUAGGGUAUGAAGGCUUUGUUACCAGGCCACCGCAGCUGAGUAAAUACUUCUCAGUGCUACUCUGCAGAGGAGGGAAGGGAAGUGGGGGAGGAGGGGGGGCAUCUGACAGCUUCCCUCUCCGUGAACACUUGGUACCACAGUCACAGGAAGAUUGCUAACGUCUUAGGAGCUGUCAAGCAAAGCCUAGAAGAGAACAGUCUGUGUUCCUAAACGUUAUCUUCUUUGGCAGUACUGUUGUGUCAUAUUAUAAAUGGAGGGAGAUGAUAAUUAGUUUACUGAAAGAGAAAUGACCCUAUACAAGGAAUGAGAAGAAAUGGCUUCCAACGACACUUGUGGGUACAAUACUUGAGCCUUUAUUAACUCUGGCCUCUGCCAAGUCACUACUCCCCAGAGGACGUAUUCAAAGAGGAGCAGGAUGGCAAACUCUUUAUCUUUACAUUUUAUUAUGACUAAGCACAGCACCAAGUGAGAACUGUAGCUGGUCUAUUCCUGUUUGGCCAGUGGGGUUCUAGGCAAAGCAUUAAAUCCGACAAGGCAAUGAUCUUGGUGCAAUGUUUAGGAUGAGCAAGAGCGACUGCCCAGGAACUGUGUGUAUCAAAUACAAAUGUAAAGAGAGGUGGGCAUUUUCUUUUCUUUUUUUCAAAUUAUUUAUUUAUUUUUAUUUUAUUUGCAUGGGGUUUGCCUCCAGAUAUGUCUAUGUGAGGGUGUCAGAUCUUGGAGUUAUAGACAGUUGGUCAGCUGUCAUGUGGGUGCUGGGAAUUGAACCCGGGUCCUCUGGAAGGGCAGUCAGUGCUCUUAACUGCUGAGCAAUCUCUCCAGCAUUUUCAAUCAAAGAUUAUAUACACACAUCCUGGCAGUUUGGUCAGGUCUGUGGGCUAACUAUGGCCAUCUCUACACAACACUGGGGGCUGAAACAGACCUGAUCUGCCACAGAAGAUUCCCUUACACUAAGUCGGACCCUUGGGGUGCUGCUCUGUCUUCUGGCCCUCAGAUAGGACAGUGAAAAGUUGGGGGUUUAAGGCAGAGUACUGUUUUUGCUUCUCAAGACAAGAGUUUCACUGUGUAGCCCUUGCUGUCCUGGAACUCACUCUGUAGCCCAGGCUGGCCUUGAACUCAGAUCUGCCUGCCUCUGCCUCCCGAGUGCUGGUAUUAAAGGUGUGCACCACCGUGCCCAACAAUCUUACUUUACUUCUAAAGAGGACUGUUUUUCCUUUCAAACAAGCACCACAGAACCAAGGUGGAACAUUCCUCUGGGGCCAGCAGGUGCUGCUGAGUACUAAAACCCAUUCCUGCUCGGAAAUGAACAGAAAUGCUUCAACAGGCAAAGAGUUAACAUGGAGAACGAACUUCAGCCCCUUCUCAUGGUGACUGAAAAUGAGAGGAAAGGACUCUCCUCGAGAGCUGAUGUACCUGAACAAUUCACUCAGCCUUUGUAAAGGAGGGUGUGUAAACUUUUCUUACAUAGGGUUUUAUGGUCAGGAUGAAGGGUUCCAGGUCGUUUUCGGAAAGAAAAAGUCUAUUCUACUUCAGAGAUACAUCAUGAUACAGAGGCAAUGCCCCAGUGUGAGUUCUAUAAAGAACUGACUACGUUCCUCUGGUUACAACUUUGCCAGGUCUCAGUUUUCCACCCAUAAAAUAUUGGGGGCUGGAGAGAUGGAUCAGUGGUUAAGAGCACUGGCUGCUCUUCCAGGGGACCCGGUUCAAUUCCCAACAUCCACAUGGCAGUUCACAGCUGUC